rnacentral:tRNA from 2 species
GGGGACGUAGCUCAAUGGUAGAGCGCCGCAUUCGCAUUGCGGAGGUUGUGGGUUCAAAUCCCAUCGUCUCCACCA